AACGAACGCUGGCGGCAUGCCUAACACAUGCAAGUCGAACGAAGCCUCCGGGCUUAGUGGCGCACGGGUGCGUAACACGUGGGAAUCUGCCCUUUGGUUCGGAAUAACAGUUAGAAAUGACUGCUAAUACCGGAUAAUGACGUAAGUCCAAAGAUUUAUCGCCGAAGGAUGAGCCCGCGUAGGAUUAGGUAGUUGGUGGGGUAAUGGCCCACCAAGCCGACGAUCCUUAGCUGGUCUGAGGGGAUGAUCAGCCACACUGGGACUGGGACACGGCCCAGACUCCUACGGGAGGCAGCAGUGGGGAAUAUUGGACAAUGGGCGAAAGCCUGAUCCAGCAAUGCCGCGUGAGUGAUGAAGGCCUUAGGGUUGUAAAGCUCUUUUACCAGGGAUGAUAAUGACAGUACCUGGAGAAUAAGCUCCGGCUAACUCCGUGCCAGCAGCCGCGGUAAU
rnacentral:rRNA from 1 species